rnacentral:lncRNA from 1 species
AAGCUAUGCCUUCAUGCGGCUUUUCUCCUUAACCAAACCGAGCUGCCCUUAUUAUUAUUUUUUUUUUCUUGGCGGCUACUCCAUUACUCCAAUAAAUCACAGCUCCUGCUUCUUAUUCUUCCAGCUUACUCCUAAUUUAAUGACUCAGGAUUUUCAUUCCAGCUCAUACUUAUAAUGCAUACCCUGGCUUUGACAUCAUAUAAUAUAUAUGUAAUAUAUUUAUACAUUACAUAUUACCUUACAUAAUAUUACCACACUAAUAACAUUUGGUGUGAUAAUUUGCC